rnacentral:rRNA from 2 species
AGAGUUUGAUCCUGGCUCAGAACGAACGCUGGCGGCGUGCUUAACACAUGCAAGUCGAACGUGAUCCAGAGCUUGCUCUGGUGAAAGUGGCGCACGGGUGAGUAACGCGUGGAUAACCUGCCCUGGUAUCUGGGAUAACAUCUCGAAAGGGGUGCUAAUACCGGAUAAGCCUACGGGCUCUUCGGAGUCUGCAGGAAAAGGAGGCCUCUAUUUAUAAGCUUCCGUAUCAUGAUGGGUCCGCGUACCAUUAGCUAGUUGGUGGGGUAAUGGCCUACCAAGGCGACGAUGGUUAGCUGGUCUGAGAGGAUGAUCAGCCACACUGGAACUGAGACACGGUCCAGACUCCUACGGGAGGCAGCAGUGGGGAAUUUUGCGCAAUGGGGGAAACCCUGACGCAGCAACGCCGCGUGAGUGAUGAAGGCUUUCGGGUCGUAAAGCUCUGUCAGAGGGGAAGAAAUGAAACGUGCUAAUAUCACGUUUUCUUGACGGUACCCUCAAAGGAAGCACCGGCUAACUCCGUGCCAGCAGCCGCGGUAAUAC